AUAAUAGUUAUGUCAAAAAUGUCACUGUUUAUGAAAUACACCCAUUAUGACCAAUAUAACCCCAAUGCAGUUGUAUGCUUAAUUUAACAUCUUGUCUGCUCACGGUUGUUGGUAAUUCAUCCUAAUUCUAUUUUUCUAGUUUCCAUUUGAUUGGUCUGCUAGUUCUUUUUAUUCAUGAUAUCGGAGAUGUUACUCUGGAGGUAUCUAAAACAUUUUAUAUUUUAAAACAAGAAAUGGAGUUGACCAUGCUCUUCCUAAAUUUUUGGCAGAUAUUGGAUUUGCAUUUUUUACAAUUCAGUGGAUCCUGUUUCGUCUGUACUGGUAUCUAACUAAGGUUUUGUACUCUUCUGCUCAUGUUUCUAUGAAAGUGUAUUCUAAUGAACCCUUCUACUUGUCAUUUAACAUAAUGUUGAUGACUCUCUAUUUGUUGCAGGUGUAUUGGUUUACAUUUAUAGUGAGGCUCUUGAUAAAAUUGAUUAUUAAAGGUGGGGAAGUUGAAGACACUAGAGAGUUCAGUGAGAAUGAAGUUAAAAAAAAAGAAUUAGUUUUUAUAGUAGAUCUACUGCUAUGUUUUCAUCUUCUGUUUUAGAUGCCAUUUUUAUAAUGACAUCAAUUAUUUAUAUAUUAGUGCAAAAUAAUACUUUUACAAUCAGCAAAAA